CUCGUUCAUCUCCUGGGCUGGACUCAGACUUCACCAGCAGCUGCUCCCUGGCCCCAGGAAGGGAAGGAGCCUCAGCCACCAGUGGGUGAUCCAGAGGCGAGGGUCCCUCGCUGGCAAAAGGAAACAGAAAAGCAAACUUCGGUGCAUGGAUCAGCUGGAGGUUUCAUGAAACGGCAGGGGAGAGCAAAGACAUCUGAAGGCCUUAGGUCCCUUCCCAUCCUUCCCUCUGCAUUUGGCAUACUGGGAUCUGAAAAGCAGCAGAAUUACGAGGCCACAAUUGCCCAGAGGAAGGGCUCUCUCCCCAUUGCCCGUUCCAGAAGAGGCAAGAGCCCAGCAGGAGUACUGCCCUAGUGAGGAGCCUUACCCAAGCACAGCAAGAAGUUUGCGAAGGUUGGCAUGCCUCGACCUGGGAUUUCCUGAGUGACCCCUGUGCGAGAGGUGCAGCAAGUCUGAUGCUUCCAAACAGCUGGCAUGUGCAAGGCACUCCUGGAGCGCAAACCUGCGGGUCCUGUGCAGAGACCCGCGUUCCCAGGGCACAGUGAGCUUGCUCCCCUCUCCCUCAGGACCAAGUAGCAUGGGGCAGGCCUUGCUUGGACGUUUUUAGGGGAGGCUUCAGCCCCUGCUGUGAGCAGGUCGGGAAGCCUUGCAAUGUCAGGCCAGAUGUUGAGACGCCGUGAGCCCUACUGCACACAACAGUGCUUCAGGGCAUCCCGGGCCCAUGACCCAGGACGGCCACCUCAUACAGACAUACCCAAGGGAGGGUCAACCCACCCAGCUCAGGCGCUGAGUGCUGCUGAGGCACCCUGGGCUCAGCAAACGGCAGCUCACCCGCUGGCUUUGGACUGGUUUUUACCGCUUCACAGCUAGAUCGUGUUCAUCUGCACAAGCUAAACCCACACGUGAGCGGCACAGCUGACGUGCUCCAGUUAGUACUGCUCGGGCACCAAAGGACUUCUGCUGAAGUCAGCAGGGCCACUGGCGUGACCGACAAUCCCAUUUAGCAAGGGGUAGAGGCAGGACCCCUGUCAUUUCACAGACUUAAAGUAACUCUGUCUUUCCAGUUCUGUCACACGGUUUUUGAAGCAAUGAUUUUUAAAUUAUUUUUCUGGAAAUAAAACAGAUGCUUCUAAUAAACAAGCAAAGCCCUUGGUUGCUGCAUCUUUUUAACCAGAUGAUAGUGUGGCUAGAAACCACCUCAGUAUGAUAACUUUUGCCUUAUCUCUAAAGUAACACAUUUGCCUGAUCAAUCAAAUAUAAAAAUACAACUUUAAACGGUUACACUUUGGUUUUCUGAAAUUCACCACCUCUUUAGACUGUUACUCUUCUCCCCUAAGCUGCAAUAUAAUUUCAGUUAAUAACCUUCUCCUUCACCUUACUGUAUAGUCCCAUCAAGACUCCUUGCCUUUAAAAGAAACUGAUUUGAUUUUUUGGCUGCUGGGGGCUGAGGAGAAGGAAAAACUGAGUUUAGAGAGGAAGCAGGAUUGGGUUUUGUGUUUUGCUUUUCUUUCCGUGCACAUAAAAUUUAGACAGUGAGUAAACCUUUCCCAUAUGUGACUAUGCAGAAGUAGGUUGCGCUGCCUGAAGCAAGUGCAGUAACUCACUUGCCACUUUUGUAGAACUCUCUGCUUUAUUAGUUUUGUGCUGGUAACUUUACAGUGAAGUUUCCAGGCAUAUAAAAAGCAGGUAAUUGAAAUCACAAAGGUAGCUUAGUACCUGUGCUAUUGUGUAAUCACCUGGAUGCACCUGAAACUAGAUUAAUACUAGGUUAGCUCUUUCAACUGGCCAGUGAUAUAGUUUAUGUAUCAAGUAACUGUUUUGCAUGUAAAUCAGACAAGUGACAGGAGGAUCUCUUUUCCUGAUUAGUGCACGUUCCAUAAUAUUUGGGAACACAAAUUUAAGACCAUCUGGUUAGAAGCUACUCUUCUACUGAUAAGGGAGCAACGGGAUAAACCUGGAAUCCUAAUGUCUGGCGUAGUGGCAUUAGUAAAAGCAGAAAGUUCUACGAACCUGCUGGAUCUUCAAAACGUUAAACAACUUGGGUUUAUUUCUAUCAAAAGCUAGUGUUUUCAGGGCUUACAGGCACAGAUGAAGAAACAGCUUUCACCAUUUCAGCCAUGAUGAAACAUUUCAUGGUGGCUAGCAGAAUGCAAGAGUGAAAUUAGAGCUUUCUUUUUCUGUGGCAGAAAUAAGGAUGAAGACCACGGAUUUCUGGUGCAGCCGGAUCUCAGGAUUAAUCUGAACUGACUAAGGAUGGCAUGCAAUUCCAAUACCUCAAAAUAUAUUGCAGUAUACAAUAGACCUCGGAAUUCCUUCUCCUGGCAUCUCUACUUAAUCUUCCACAUCUCCAAAAGGACGUUUCACCAAAGGACCUGAGCUUAGUUGGAAACAAAAUACCAUGUCCUGCAGGUCACUGCUUGGGCUGAACACUACUUCUCUGCCAGCUCUAGCAACCUCUGUCACCCCAGGGCACACUCUCCCACUGGGCUGCAGCUUACGGGACCAGCAAUGGAGCAUGUGGGAAGACCUCUGAACUCUCUCUGUGAAGCUGGAAGCAAGCUGAUUAUCUGAGAACCAAACACCUCCGAGAGGACAAAGACUUUCAGACAUAUUUAAAUGGCACUGUAGGGGCUGUGGCUCAUUUUUGCUGUUAAUAAUCUGAUACAGCUAUAAUAUUUUUUUAAUACCCAGAGACAAAUUACAGCAUAUAAAAGACCAUGAGGUUAUAUUUUAGUUUUCUAGAAGCUGAGAUAGUCCCAUUAAUAUAUUAUGAAGGCAUUGUAACAAGAGUACUAGUAUUUUAAUGAUGAAACAUCCAGGGUCAGUAGAAAAUAUAUAUCAUCAUCUGCAAAUUCAUUUUAGAUAUAAUAAAAUAGCAGACCACAGGAGAUCUGUCACAUUUUAAAUAGGAUAAAUGUUAUUUAUACUUUAUGCUGCAACAUUUUAUCUUUUGAAGGUGCAGCAGGACUCAGUACUUCAUCACGCAGUAUCUGCAAUUGUGCAGAGGGGCCAUAGCAACUCAUCUGACAGCAACAGGUAAAGGCUGCGGUAACUCUCGGGCUUGCUGUUGCUGAAGGCCAGCUGCAGAGAAACCACCCACACCUGUCUCAUCAAGGAGGGGAUAACUGGGCCCUGAUGAACGGGUGCAGGUGGGGAGGAAGGUUAUAAAGAGGGGAACAGGCAGUGAGGGCAUUAGUUGCCGUGCUGGUUUGGAGCCAUUUUGCCUGUGGGCGAGUGAUAGCUUUAGCUUUCUCUGCAAGGAAAGUGUGAUGGUUGGACGUGGCUGGUAGCAAAGAGAUGGCUCACAGACCCAGAGAGGAGCGACAAAGGUGGUGAGUGAUUUCCCUUGUGAGAGAGCUUUGGUGCUUUCCUGCACAAGACCAUGGCAAGGUACUGUGUUUACGUUCUUGCAUACUGUAGCUGAACUCAGGGCAGGGUUUGAGCAUCCCGUGGUGCAGCAGCCCUGAUAGGACCUGGGGAACGGCGGGUGUCCGCCUGUACUCCAGUACUAGCAGUAUGUUGGGUGCAGGUCCAUCCUCAGUUGAACAAAACUUACUGACUUAAACCAAGGUCAGAAAUGUUGCUUGCUGGAAAGGCUUCUUAAACUGUUUAUUUGCUGAUGGCUUUGUGAAGUGUUGGACAAAAGAUGACUAGUGUUUUUCUGAAGGUGUGGUGAACCUAGACAGCACCUGGCAUGUUUUAUGUUGGCACUCUCUGCUUAGAAAUGAUUUCUGAUGGUAGACCAGAGAGGUGUGCUUGUGCAGUAUUAUCAUGUAAAUGUCCUGGUGGGAUCUUUGAAAUGCACGUAGCAUCAAGAAAGUCAGGAGAAUAUGCAAGGAAUACGAUUUUUCAUCUAAUGUCUAAAUUCUCCUUAAUGUUCCAAAUCUGGGCAAAGUGGUUGUGUGCACUGAGCACCUAGUUAGAAAUUGUACAGUGCUCCCUUGGAACUGUUAACGCUUUGGCAAACAAAAAAAAUCCCAGGUUAAGCUCUGCAUGAUGCUGUCUUGGCCUGAACCUCCAGACUUAAGAGGAGGGUGCAGGAAAAGCCACUUGUGAGCGUACGGUAUUGUCUCUGCAUCUGCCUCUUCCAAAGCCCUCAGUAUGGCUUUGUUGUUCAGCUGUUGGUAGGGUAACAUCUUUCUUUAUCUUUCUGCUGCUGUUUCUUUUUCUUGCUUAAAUCCGUGCUCAAUAGAUUUAUUUUUUUUAAUAAGGAGAAAACCAGUAAUAAUGACUUCUGUAUAAGCUCGUGGAUGCAUUCUGUUAUCCCCGAGGAAGAAGCAGAGUGAAAAUACCUUCUUCGUGUGAUUUAGCUUUGUAGUUGUUGUUUUUCCAGCCUGUGUGCGUUUAAAGAGACAUAGAGGCUGCAGCAUUUGGGUUUCUGCAGGCUUCCAAAGUAAUCUAGUAAAAGGUCACGUUUCAGUUGUUCCCACCUUGAACCGGCAGGAGAGCACGGCACUGUGAAUUGAUGCUGACACCAAGGGUGAGGUCCUUGUGUAUCUCUCCUUCUGGUGGGAAAUCUCAAAGGGGCUCAUCCUUGUCUCUUCCAUCACAAUAAGGUGCUGAAUCUAAAUCAGACUGGAGGCAGCCCAAGGGUUUAUGUGCCUGACUAGCAGUGAUUCACUGUCGAAAGAAUCAACCUCUUUCCCUAUGCCAAAAAAAAAAACGGCAGGAAGAGCAAUGGGCAUCUCCAGCAGUGAAAUAUUCGUGCUGCCUGCUAAAGAAAUCGUGGGUCUGGCAUUCUAACUCUCUAAAAAAAAAUAAAAACCCCCCAAACAUACUUACUGGUUCUGUAAUGUGAAAAUCUACAACAGUUGUCAGGUAACAUGAUGAAAUCCAGUAUUACUCAGGCCCUGUAGGCACUCGGCACUUUUCAUUUCAGAAGGAAACAAAAGUCAAUUUCCAAUUACAGUUAAGUUUGGGGAACACUGGGGGGGAAUCACUGGCUUCAGAAGUGAGGUAAAAAAAAAUGCAGCAAGCAUUUUAGUAUACUUUAGCAUUAGGAAAUUGUAGAAAAUACUUACAAAAAGCUUUCUCGUGCUCUGCAGUUGUUUCUUUCCAAAAAACAUUGUGCAGUGCUUAAAAACAGGAUGGUUGUAAACUAGCAGCACAACUGUGUGCUUGUUAGUAGUGGCUUAAUUUGGUGAGAGACUGAAAUGCAAUUUCCCCCUUCCCCCCAUACUGCAUCUAAUCAAUCUAAUCAAGUAUCUAAUCAAGUAAAUAGCUGCAGGAAACAAAGGCUGGGCUUGUGAACCUAUUGUUUGUUUAGCAAAGGGAAACCAGUGGCUUUUUCAUGGAAUGAUCCUCAUAUCUGUGCAUUCUCUUGCUGUUGGUUUGGGGUUUUUUCUAUCCUGGCUAUGGAAACUAAAAACUAGGCCCUGCUUCAAAUUUUAGAUGUGUGGUAGCUAAUUACAGUACACAUAGUCUUAUUAAAUAAGUGUCAUUAGUUAUAAAGUAUGUUUACACUGGAGUUUCACGGGUAGGAGAUGGAGAGUCCAAGCUGUAGAGGGUGUUGCCAAUGGAUGGCUCGGGCUGUAAUUUUGUCAAUUACUGGGGUUUCUAUUUAUGUUCCUACAAAGUAGGGAUGGUAAAAUUUGUCUGUGUCCGAAUUGCCUUGAGCUUUUAGCAAAUACUUAUGGACUACGUGCAGACUUUCAGGAGACGACUAAUUAAAUUUGUACUACUUGUUAAAUGUGCUUUGUAGAAUCUUACCUCUUCCCGCUUUAAACAGCUUCCUCUUUCAGUCUGGAAAGCACUUUCCAGUAGAAUUGUUGAAGUUUAGAACAAAUAUUUUUAUGCUAAUGGUAGCACAUUAACCUCAUGUUAAGCUUUGCUCCAUCUUCUUCACUUCAGCUUAUCCUUAUGCUUUUUUUCCCUAACAUCUCUUGACAUUUAAGAUGAAAUGCAGAUACUAAAGACUAUGAAAUUGCUCCCACUCGGACAAAUGGAAGCUUUGCCAUUGGUUCCUUUGGAAAUAAGCUCAGGACCUGGAUAGAUGCAUGUAAUGUCUUGUAAGACACUAGUAUGUUUUCUGCCUGAACAAACAGAACUCUAAAGCAUUUCUGAAGCUUGUUUUCUGUGAUGCACGCUACUACUUGAUCAACUGGCAACUGAAAAUGUUCCGUAUGUUACAGUGACCUUCACAUUAAUUUUCUGGAAACAAAGCCAGCAACCCUGCAACAGGAUUGACCAAAAGACUCCCAGUCACAGGUGCUAAACCACCAGAGUAUAAAUGAAAAUGCAUUACAUCCACAUAAGCACCCAAAGAAUUUAUACUGAGCUGGUGCUGUCACUGUAACACUAAUGCCAGAAAAGAGUUUACAGA